rnacentral:rRNA from 1 species
GAUGAACGCUGGCGGCGUGCCUAACACAUGCAAGUCGAGCGCGAUUAAGUGGAGUGAGGACUUCGGUCUAAGUGAAGCUUAUGAAAGCGGCGGACGGGUGAGUAACGCGUGGGUAACCUGCCCCAUACAAAGGGAUAGCCACUGGAAACGGUGAUUAAUACCUUAUAAGUCGGUAGUCUCGCAUGAGACAGCCGACAAAGAUUUAUCGGUAUGGGAUGGACCCGCGUCUGAUUAGCUAGUUGGUGAGGUAACGGCUCACCAAGGCGACGAUCAGUAGCCGACCUGAGAGGGUGAUCGGCCACACUGGAACUGAGACACGGUCCAGACUCCUACGGGAGGCAGCAGUGGGGAAUAUUGCACAAUGGGCGCAAGCCUGAUGCAGCAACGCCGCGUGAGUGAUGAAGGCUUUCGGUCGGUAAACGUACUA